CAUCUGUUUUUAUACAUGGGAUGUCACUUAUUAAAUGUCAUUCCGCUCAGUCCCGGUAGUGCGUAGAGGUCAAGGGAAAGGGCUCCGGCCUUCUUGGUGUCACAUCUUCAGUAUGGGAGGCUUUCAGUCUGCAAGUUCUAACCUCAAGUGCCUGGACACCA